AUGAACGCUAGCGGCAGGCCUAAUACAUGCAAGUCGAACGGUGGUAGCAAUACCAUAGUGGCGCACGGGUGCGUAACGCGUAACCAACCUACCCAGAACUGGGGGAUAGCCCGCCGAAAGGCGGAUUAAUACCGCAUAAGCUACUGAAGUGGCAUCACUUUAAUAGUAAAGAUUUAUUGGUUUUGGAUGGGGUUGCGUGCCAUUAGCUAGUUGGUGAGGUAACGGCUCACCAAGGCGACGAUGGCUAGGGGAGCUGAGAGGCUGGUCCCCCACACGGGCACUGAGAUACGGGCCCGACUCCUACGGGAGGCAGCAGUAGGGAAUAUUGGGCAAUGGUCGAGAGACUGACCCAGCCAUGCCGCGUGCAGGAUGAAGGCUUUCUGAGUCGUAAACUGCUUUUAUCAGGGAAGAAUAAGGACUGUGCGCAGUCUGAUGACGGUACCUGAGGAAUAAGCACCGGCUAACUCCGU
rnacentral:rRNA from 1 species